GGCGUUAACCGACUUAAAAAUGGCACAAUUAGUUGCACAAUCAUAAUCAACUUUUGAUGUUUUUUGAGUACAUAACAAUUCACAGGUAACAACACAAACGGCAUAAUGUUUUAUAUUGCCUUUACAUUUAAAGGGACACUUCAAAGCACAAACUGCUCUUUUGAAUGACUCUUCAUGUGCAGAAUCGUUAGCCUGUGCCACAACUAUCAUCAUCAUCACAAAAAUUAAAACAAUCUCUUUCCUCUCACUCCUUCCCAUACCUUUUCUCUAUAUUAUGCUUUAUUUUCCUGUAGUAUAUAAU
rnacentral:lncRNA from 1 species